rnacentral:rRNA from 1 species
AUUGAACGCUGGCGGCAGGCCUAACACAUGCAAGUCGAGCGGAUGAAGGGAGCUUGCUCCUGGAUUCAGCGGCGGACGGGUGAGUAAUGCCUAGGAAUCUGCCUGGUAGUGGGGGAUAACGUCCGGAAGCGGGCGCUAAUACCGCAUACGUCCUGAGGGAGAAAGUGGGGGAUCUUCGGACCUCACGCUAUCAGAUGAGCCUAGGUCGGAUUAGCUAGUUGGUGGGGUAAAGGCCUACCAAGGCGACGAUCCGUAACUGGUCUGAGAGGAUGAUCAGUCACACUGGAACUGAGACACGGUCCAGACUCCUACGGGAGGCAGCAGUGGGGAAUAUUGGACAAUGGGCGAAAGCCUGAUCCAGCCAUGCCGCGUGUGUGAAGAAGGUCUUCGGAUUGUAAAGCACUUUAAGUUGGGAGGAAGGGCAGUAAGUUAAUACCUUGCUGUUUUGACGUUACCAACAGAAUAAGUACCGGCUAACUUCGUG